ACGACGCUGGCGGCGUGCCUAACACAUGCAAGUCGAACGGGGUGAUUCCUUCGGGAGAUCACUUAGUGGCGAACGGGUGAGUAACGCGUGAGAAACCUGUCCUUCAGGUGGGGACAACAGUUGGAAACGACUGCUAAUACCGCAUAACGUAUUUUGGGGGCAUCCCUGAAAUACCAAAGCUUUAUGUGCUGAAAGAUGGUCUCGCGUCUGAUUAGCUAGAUGGCGGGGUAACGGCCCACCAUGGCGACGAUCAGUAGCCGGUCUGAGAGGAUGAACGGCCACAUUGGGACUGAGAUACGGCCCAGACUCCUACGGGAGGCAGCAGUGGGGAAUAUUGGGCAAUGGGGGAAACCCUGACCCAGCAACGCCGCGUGAAGGAAGAAGGCCUUCGGGUUGUAAACUUCUUUUAGCAGGGACGAAUACGUGACGGUACCUGCAGAAAAAGCAACGGCUAACUACGUG
rnacentral:rRNA from 1 species